GGGAGGAGAUGCAGAGGACCGUGACAAGACCUGGCUGUGCACGUGUAGACGCCUACCCUCAUGCACGUCUGCAAAGCACCGACCAAAGCCAAUGAGUAAAUGAGCGGAAGGAAGAAAUCUCUUCCUCCCUGAAUCGAUGGAGGUGCCCAUCACCAAGGAAUGCUCCUUCCUGUCCUCUACUUCCUGUGGGUGGGGGGUGCACCUGGAGACGCUCUUUCUCCAGGUGAGGAUGCUGCCGUGGGCUGCCAGGCCCUGGCUCCUGCGGGCCUCCCCCACCCGAGGACUUGUCUGCACAGGUCCCACUUCCCAGGCCACACGGGCACCAAGGGUGUAUCCUGGAAGGGUGUUGGCCAAGGGACAGGGUGCCAGGCAAGCGGAGCCCUGCUGCCCUGAGGAGCAGCCUGGGGGCAGGAUCCUCUCCUGAAGUGACCACUACUCCCAGCCAGUGGGCGAGCCGAGGGCUCCGUUCUUAGCGGUCUGAGACCUGCCAGCUGUGGGCUGUGGGUAACUGCCACCAGUGUGGGCAGAGGCCUGGGCUCUGAGUCAUGCCUGUUUCCCCUGGAGGUGAGUGGGUGGCCUGACCCUGCAGGUGGAACAGGAUGGGGAACCUUCUUCCCCGAUCUCCUGACUCCUGAGUGGUCGGACACAACUCCAGACGACCUGCCAGAGCCUGUCCGUCCUGGGAAGCCCGGGUGUGCAGGAGGGCUUCCGUAGGCCCCGGCCUCCCACGGCUGGGCCUCCUCUACAGCCGGCCUCCACUACCCUCCCUUCUCCCUCUCUGGCUCUCCGAGAGGCCCUGUUGUGGCCCUUCUCAGUGUCCAUUCACCAGCCCUGGUGGCCCCUCCUCUCAGGCACCCACCCAGCUCCCAGGGCCUCAGGCCCCUUGAAGCCCUUGUCUCCAGCAAACCUGACCUGAGGCCCCAGUCCUUCCAUGCCCAAGGCUCGGUGUCAGGACCCCAGGGCCUCUGCAGGAGGUCCAGUCAGCAGGGAGCCCCAGGAGUCACCAGCCUGACACCCUUCAGGUCCUCAGGGCUAGCAGGUGUGGCGCUGAGCUGGGCGUGCACCCUUGAUGUGGUCACUGGCACUGUGUCCUCUGGGGUCCGUCCUUAAGCUCCAGGAGCAAACCUGUGCCUCCCAGGACAGGAGGGCAGGAUGGAGGAGGGAUGGAGGAGGGACACAGAGGAUAAGUGCAUGCAGGUGUGAACAGCGUCCCCACUGCCACCGGACUAGAGUGACAACGUGAAGCGUCUCUGGAGUCUGCCAAGGAUCCUCUGGAAUUCAAAGUCACCGCAGGUGAGAAGCCCUGGUCUGAGCCAUGCCUCCGUGUCCCUGGAUGCACGCUGUGCCUGAGCCCUCUGUCCCCGGGCUGCAGGUGGUGGCUGUUCUACAUGUGGCCCGGCUACUGUUGCCUCCCAAGCCUAAGCCUGACAAAGGACCGGAGGAGUGACACCUCCCCAGCCACAGCUCCCUGCUCAGAGGGCCCCAUUCUUUCCUGGGGGUGGAGACGCCCCCAGAGGAGCGGAGCGGGCAGGUGCGUGGCCGGCUCAGGGGGGGACAGCAGCCACAGCACAGGUGCUUGGCCAGCCACCCGCACACCGUUUUAGGCCACGCCCUGCCGGUUCAGGGCUGCUGGGCUCAGAGCAGCAACCGCUAGAUAUUUGGGUGGCCAGUCCCUUUCUGAGCAGAAUGCUCGGUGGGGCUUCGGGAGGCAGGGGUCAACGGCUCAUCGGCCUCAGGACACCAGGCCUGCAGCUGUAAGGAUGACCGAGGCGGUCAGCUGCACACCCUGGGACAGGCGUCCUCGAGAGGAAAGGGCACAACCCUGGGCACUCAGGCUGAGGUUCUGCAGGCCUGCAGGGCCCCCCAAGCCCAGCCUGUCACUUGGACCCUAGAAUGGUGACUGCUGUUGUUGCCGUUGCUGGUGGGAAGGGGCGGGGCUGGCUGUGGGCGUGAGGAUGUGCAGGCUGGCACGAGGCGGGGGGCUGGGGAUGCCCAGCUACAGGGGGCAGAGCCUCGGCUGGCCACUGCCUAGGGCUACAGCCAGUGGGGAAACGGGGGGCAGCCAUGGCGCAGGGUAAACCCACGGCCACAUCCUGAAGGGACUCGGACCGACCCCCAUUUGCAGUGGCCUUCCUGUGCUGGCACCGCUGUUUCCUGAGCUCACCCGCGUGUGUCUCCUCCACAGGCCGCACAUCCGGGGCCCCCAGACCAGAACCAGCCUGCUCACAGGGCCAGUUCCCUUUUGGUUUAACGCUGACACGCCUUGUGGGACCUGAGCCUGUUCCUCUGCGAGCACUUUGACUUGUUGACUUUCUGAAAUCAUGAGUAAGUAGGACUGGGCAGGGGCGCAGAUCUGCUCCAAGGGGCCGCCUCAUACCCAGGAGCUCUCACGGUCCCAAGUCACGCAUGCUCAAAGAUGACCUGUGAAGGGAUCAAGUCAUGACUGUCACACAGAGAGAAAAGGAUGGCACGUGUUUGGGGGGAAAUCGGUCAGAUGCUGGCGAGGUCAAGGGAGAAGGAAAAGACACGAGCGUACGUGGAGCAAUGGCCCUUCAGGGAUGGGGUGCCUGCUCACUUUGGGGUCCCCACUGCCCACCACGCCCUCCUGCUCUGUGGCCAUUGUGGCGUGGUGUGCUGCCCUGCCGGGACCUGUCCUGUGCACCUGUGUUCUCUGCAGCCGCCACUGUCCACGAAGUGCCCAUGAUGGGGGCCCCUCCCCCACCCCACCGUGCACCUCCAGCAAAGACCCACAGACUCUGUCCUUGGGGACGGUGGGUCAAGGGUGUGUGGGGUGCAGAGCCCGGCACAGGGCAGGCCUCCCUGGUCUGAUGGAUGGCAACGAGCCGCCCACUUUACAGAGGUCCACAGGGGUGCGGGCUCGGGGGCAACCCCAGGUUUGUAGAGGGCAGAGGUGGGGGCAGCCUGGUGGGGCAGGGAGGGAGGCUGGGGAGGCGUGAUGUGGUGGGGGAGUCACCUGUGGAGCAGGAUGACAUCAGAGGACAGGGCAGCAGCUGGAUCCCACAGCUGUGGGCAGGUACACUGGGCUGGCCCUCCCCCCACUGGGUACCCUCUGUCCUGCUGGGCAGCUGGUGCCCACCUCCUGGUCACUCUGCGGCAAGGCCCAGCCCUCUGCUGUGCUGUUGAGGAGCAGCUGUGUCCCAGGGGCAAGGGUCCUGAGGAGGUCCCCUGAAGGGAGAUGGACCUCAACUCAGGCCAUGAGGGUCCUUGUCGUCAUCGUGACAAGGAAUCUCAGGACAGGUGAAAGCAAGGCCAGGCUGACCUCCCUGAGAGAGGAGGCUCGCUCUGAGACGGUGCAGUGUGGGCAUCGGGCAGCGGAGCUGUGCAGGCCAGGCACGCGGCGUGGUCAGAUCAGCACGGCAGACAGAGGGCGGAGGGGUGUUUCCAGCCCGCCCCUGGGCUGCGACUGGGCAGGCUGACCACAGGGCUGAUUUCCUCAUUGCUGAUGUGUUCUGCUCUGCGCACACGGUCCCUCUGUGCUCCUGGCCGUGAGGCCUCGUGGUUGACUCAGUUGCUCUUUGUGACCAAGCGUGUGCACGUGCCGGGAGGUCUGGGUUGGAGUGUGGCCCCUCUUGGUGGCCCCACAAGCCUCCUCUCCACCCAUCCUUAAGUCCAUCCUCCUGCGGUGCAGCCCUGGGGCCUGCUGCACCUCCUCAAUGGGCAGUGGGCCGUGUCUUGACACUGGCCCAUCCCCCGUGGCCCAGGCUGGAGCCCCUGCCCUCUGCUGGGCACUCAGGUGGUCUCAGGGCUCAGCAGAGUCUGGCUGGGGUCGGCCAUGGCCCCAGGGGCUGGGCAUUCUCUCGGAGCUGGGCUGUAGUGGACUGGGACCUCUGAACCCAGGGAUUUACAGGACACCCAUGUGUGUUCCUUCUUCCCCAACAUCUGCAAGGCCUGCAGGAGCCCCAGACGCCGGGGACGCUGGGGCUCAUUUCCCAGAGAAGCACAUUCCAAGUCUGCACUCUUGACUGUGGCUGAGGGUCAAGCCCUGUGUCCAUGGCUCCCAGCGAAGCAAACAGAAGCGAUCCCUCCCCUCGGCACAGGAUGUCCACCUGGCCAGCACUCGCCAGCCGAAGGUCCUGAGGGCUUUGGCCACCCAUCUCUAAGCAUUCAUUAGGCACCUACUGCAUGCUCCACAGGGAGAGCUAGAGGCAGAUUGUGUAUCAUCCCUCUGGUUCAGAGAAGCCGCUGGGUCCCAGGAUGAGCUGAAGAGUCCCUGCUACCUACCCAGCGCCCACGGCUCCCACGGCCCCACGGCCUCCACUGCCCCCAUGGCCCCUGACCCCCACAGCCCCCGGUCCCCAUGGCCCUAUGGCCCACAAAGCUCCCACGGCCCCACGGCCCCCUCAGCCCCCACGGCCACGGCCCCCAUGGCCCCCAUGUUCCCCCUCAGCCCCCACGGCCCCCACAGCCCCCUCAGCCCCCACGGCCCCCAUGUUCCCCCUCAGCCCCCUCAGCCCCCACGGCCCCCAUGUUCCCCCUCAGCCCCCUCAGCCCCCACGGCCCCCAUGUUCCCCCUCAGCCCCCNNNNNNNNNNNNNNNNNNNNNNNNNNNNNNNNNNNNNNNNNNNNNNNNNNNNNNNNNNNNNNNNNNNNNNNNNNNNNNNNNNNNNNNNNNNNNNNNNNNNNNNNNNNNNNNNNNNNNNNNNNNNNNNNNNNNNNNNNNNNNNNNNNNNNNNNNNNNNNNNNNNNNNNNNNNNNNNNNNNNNNNNNNNNNNNNNNNNNNNNNNNNNNNNNNNNNNNNNNNNNNNNNNNNNNNNNNNNNNNNNNNNNNNNNNNNNNNNNNNNNNNNNNNNNNNNNNNNNNNNNNNNNNNNNNNNNNNNNNNNNNNNNNNNNNNNNNNNNNNNNNNNNNNNNNNNNNNNNNNNNNNNNNAAGCCCCCACAGCCCCCACUGCCCCCAUGUUCCCCCACGGCCCCCCCUUGCGCUGCGUCAUGCUGGAUUCAAUGCAGAUGUGCAGGGGCAGGAGGGCCUGGGAGCAGACGUGCCUACACCCAGGGGAGCGGGCUAUUAGUCACUCUGGUGGAGAGGGGAGGAGGGAGGGCAGGGCAGCCCAGCUGGAGGCGGCCAGGGAUCCAGGGUGGAGCGCAGUGAGGACUUCCAGCCCUGGCAGCUGGACAGCCGUGUCUGUGCCGGCCAAUGCAGAGAGGCACCACCCCUACCUGACGGCCAGUGCUCCUCGCGACACCCCUACCUGAUGUUUCCUGCGGCCUGGAGCCCACACUGUGUUCUGGCCUCCUGAGCUGGCCGCACAGAUGGCUGUGUCCAGCUUGGCCAGAGGGCAAAGGGGCUGGUGGGAGGCCAAGGGACAGGGACACUCUGGGUUCAGGCACACCCCCCCCCACUACCUGGGGUCUUUUCUCCAGACCCCUGCUCUGUCAGGCUCUGCAGGUGGCUACAGAGGUGACAGUCCUGGCCCGGCUCAGGCGGCUGUCACAAGGCAUGGCGACGAGGGUGGUUCUGUACAGAGCUGGGGUCUUCCACACACUGAGGCAGCUCAAGGACCGUCCCCUGCCCCGCCUCAAACCCUGCGUCUUGUGAUCAAGUCAGAAAGAUUUCAGGCUUGUCACUCAGAGUAAUGGGCAUGAGUUUAUCAAAGGGGCAGAAAAGGGCAGCAGGGACACUCUCAAGGGAGAGGGGCUCCUCUCAGAGAGGAGAGGGACAGCGUGCCACUCUUGCACUCCAGUUUUAUUGGGGCAGUCCAGAGAAGUUUCCAGAAAGUCCCACCCAGGUCCACCUCUUGACUUUUGAUUGACAGCAGGAUGACAUCAGACUUUCAAGUCCCCACGGCCAUGACAACCCUAGUCACCUUGUCUCACACUGACCACUAGUAACUGGAUUUCUUUCCUGGGGCGGGGUACUGAGGACUGAACCCAGGGGCACUCGGCCGUAUCCCCAGCCCUAUUUUGUAUUUUAUUUAGAGACAGGGUCUCACUGAGUUGCUAAGUGCCUCACUUUUGCUGAGGCUGGGUCUGAAUUUGUGACCCUCCUACCUCAGCCUCCCGAGCCACUGGGAUUACAGGCGUGCACCACUGUUCCUGGCUCUAAUUGGAUUCUUAACAUAAAUCAUUUCAGAUUUUAUGGUGAGGAAGAAUUAUCCUUAAUAUCCUGAGCUCCUAGAUCUGGUCACAAAAGCCCUUCGGGGUAGGCUUAUCGACAUGAUUUUGCGCCUGCGUUUCUCCAGCAGAUAACAGGUCGUGUGCUGGGGACUGUGUCUCCUCAUGGGUCCACUCCAGCCAGGCAGGGCUGCAGGUAAGUGCUUCUGACAAAGAAGGCUCGUGAGGGUCAGCACGUGGGCCACUCAUAGAAUGAGUCCCUCCCUCCUGCCCCCACCCCGGCGCCUGUCCCCUCGCCGUUCAACACCAGCAACUGUUUCUCCUGGUUCUGUCUGGACGUCCGAGGUCCAGGUGCCGGCAGGUCCGUGUCUGGGGAGGAUUGUGGAUGGCCACUUUCUCCUUGUGCCUUGACACAGCAGAGAGAGGACAGCUCUGGGUCUCCCAUCAGGAUUUCUCCUCGUGACCUCGUCACCUCCUGCAGGCCCACGUCAACACCAGCCCCUGGGGGCAUAGAUGCCCCCGGAUGUGAACUGGGGACGCAGACAUUCGGUCUAUAGUGGCGGGUUCUGAUUCUGAGUUAAAGGAACCCGUGUUGCGAGGCCACCCAGGUUCUAGAAUUGAGGCCUCUCCUGCACCCCAGCAUUAUGUGCCUAAGUCUCAGGGGAUCCUCGUGUGUGGUUACCAGAGAGCAGGCCACCAGUGAGUGCCUGGUGACAUGAGGCAGACGGGGCGAGAGGGAAACUAUGGACCCUGGAAGAAACAGGCGAGUCAUGGUGGACAGUGCUGGCCGCAGCACCCCUGCUGCUUACGGCUCCAGAGGAGAGGCGGCCCCCACCACGCAGCACAGGCCCAAGACAGAGCUGGAGGUUCAAGUGUAGCCACCACUGAAACUCAGGGGACAGUGGGGAGGCAGGGACAAGGGCAUCUGACAGAGAAGACAGGAAGCCAGACAGGCCGAGGCUGGGUGUGUGGCCAGCAGGACCCCAGCCAGAGAACCCAGGCAGGACGGGGCAGAGCGCUGUGGUUUGGGGGGCUUGGGUGUCCCCCAUGGCACCCUGCUGAGAUUCAGUCACCACCGUGAGGUAUCAGGAGGAUGGAAAGGCCACCCGGUGCUGAGCGUGGGGGCUUUGGAGGGAUCAGGAUUAGACAAGGCCACAGGCUGGGGCCCCUAUGACUGGGUCCUGGUGGCUUUAUAAAAUAGGGAGGGAGACCAGAGGACACACACACACACACACACACGACAUGGGAUUCUCUGUGCUGCCUCAGGACUCUGCCAACAGGAAAGCCAUCACCAGAGGCAACCCCUUGACCUUGGACCUCCAGAACCAUGAGCUAAAAUAAACCGUUUUAUAAAACAGCCUGCCUUGGUGGUUUUGUUAUAGUAACACAAGGCUGCCUGACACAGAAACCGAAGUUUCUGAAUUGAAGGGAUGUGAAUUUUCAGGCCAAAAGGUCCAGUUGAAAAGGAGCCACAACCAUGAGUAGUAAUAAUGAAUUAAAAUAUUGUGAAUUUCAGAAAAUGAAGGGGAAAAAAGGGAGACUCUUAAAUAUUUCUGAGGAACAUCUCCCUCAUCCUUGAAAACGAAGUUGUCAUCAGGCUCCCCGCCAUGGGCAGGUGGAGCUGCUGGAGUGGGUGGGCAGCCCCAGCAAUGCCCUCAGAAGGUUUUCUGCUGAGGAUUUCAUCCCCAGCCAAACUGUCCAGCAGGCAUGGAAGUGGAUGGCAGGUGUCCAGGCUCCCGGGGACUGGGAGAGGUGCGCCCUCGUGCCUUCUCCAGGACAUGCUUCAGCAAAAUGAGGAGGCCUCCAAGGAGCUGAGAGGGGUUGGGCCCACAGCAGGCUCUCCAGCUCUCAGGACGAGGGCAGAGAGCCUGGUGGCCCCUUCACCGCUGCAGAGAGCCAGCAGUCCAGAGAACAACAGGAGGGCUCUGGAGAGGGGACCCUCAAUGAGUGAGAAGACAUGUCGGGGUGGAGUUGUGCCCCCGGAGGUCAGCUGAGGUCACAAAUGCCGUGCCUGAGGCUGACUUCCUGGGAGGUGGAGUCUUGCGAAGGCCAUCAGCCUAGGCGCCGUCAUAGGAUCAGGGUGGCCCUGGUCCAACACAGCUGGCGUCCUCAGAAGAGGAGAAGAUAGCCACAGGAGAAGGGCCCCAUGACCCCAAGGCUCCUGGGCAGAAGGGGGCUGUCAGUGGCUCUGAGGGCCUCUGGCUCCUCAGCCGCUCAGGAUGGUGCCGAGUGCCCCAUCAGGCUCAGGGACAUUCCGUGGGCGCUGCUCUGUCUAGGCCUGGCCUGGGAAACUUCCCGCCCGACACCAUGUGGGAGAUGUCAGUCUUUUAUUCCCGGCCAUCACGGAUCAACUUUGUUUUGCUGUGAGAUGCAGCAAGAAUGGUAGCCAUGACCACAGCCACCGCUGACAGCCGCUUCCAAGGGGCUUGCACUGAGAAGGAGCAAGCCCAGAGCAGUGUGCCCACUGACUCCUCCAGCUGAGAGAGGCCUGAGGGGCAUGGGAGGCUGUAUGUGGAGGGGACUGUGACACCCAGGUGCUUCUCGGGGCUCCCUCGGCCUGCACAGACACAUCCUCAAGACUUGGGUUUCCUUUGAGGGGACCCCACAGGCCCCAGUGAUGUGGCGGAAGGCGCCCGGGCCUGCUCCCUGCCUGGUCUCAGGCCCUUCCCGGGGCAGCCAUCACCACGGGGAGGCGGAGGCCGCAGUGCUUGGCGGGGAGGGUUCACUCCACAGCUGCCAGGGCAGCAGAGCCGUGUCGAAACCUCCUCCGCAGGGAGCCAGAGAGGGCUCUUGCCCUCUCAAGUGGCCAAAUAAAUAUGGGCUUCAAAGCUGUGGCUGGGGGCCAUGGCAUCUGCUAAGAUGUGUUUUGCAAGCUGUGGUUUAGUACACAACUUGAAUCAUCAAUCACUCUGGUUCUUAUUUAGCUUUCUAUAAAUGUGGGCUCUUAAGAGAGGCCUGAGAGACCCUUCCAAGGCACACCCCAGUGACAUCCUUCCUCCACUUUGGGCUCGGUCAUCCAUUCAGCCAACAGCGGAUUAAUCCACUGCUGAGGUCAGAGCCUCGUGAUCCCAUCACUACUCCCCCGUCCCCAGCUCGCAUGAGACUCUGGGGACAUUCCAGAUACGACCCAUCACAUUCCAUCCCUGGCCCCAGGGUCUCCUGAUGAUCACACAGUGCAGAAUGUGUCUAGUCCACCCACAGGGUCCCCGCAGUCUCAACAGUCCCUCCACUGCUCAAAAAACCAAGUCCAAGAUCUCCUCGGAGACUCAAGGCAACCUUCUGGCUGUGAGCCCCAGAAUCCAAAGCAAGUUACUUAGAUACAACAUAAAACGGCACGCAGAACAUUCCCAUUCCCAAAGGAAGGAAUAGAGGCAUAGUCAGAAAGGGCGGGGUCAAAACAGACCAAAACUCAGCAGGCAAACACCAAGUCCUGUGGCUCCACGUUGGGCUCCACGACCCUUGGAGGUGGAGUGUGGGUCCCACGGGGCUGGGGAAGCCCUGCCUGUGCGGCUCUCUUGUGCUGGCUCUGCUCACUGCCUGGUUCUCCUCUGCAAACAGUCCGCCUUCCCGGCACCUCUGACUUCUUGGCUUCUCCAUCACAGCCUCAGUUUUCAGCUUCACACAUCACCCUGUCAGGGACUGCCAGCGAGGACCCUGAAACACGGUGUCUGCCCCUUGCGGGCCUUCCUUAAAAUCUCAGUGGAAGCCUUCAUGACCCCCAGACUCCAGCGUCUUGCAGAACCAGACCACAUGGGCGAUGCCAAGGUCUGUCACCAGCUCGAGCAGCAGCCAGGCCCCCUGGGGCCACGGCUGCAGCCGCCUCUGAGUGCCUGGGGAGAUGACUUCCUGGGCAGCACUGGUGCUCUCCCCUCCAAGCAGCGCCUUUCAAACCAGUGGACCCUUUUCUACUUUGGAGCAAGUGGGUGUGGCCUGGAUGUUUGAGUUGCCCUCAGGGCCACUUUCCCACCAUCCCUGUGCCCUGUGCGACGUUCUGGGCUUCUCUUUUAUCUACUCUCCUGAGCACCUGCAUCCUCCUUGGCCCCAACUUUCGAUGCUUUUCUGGCCAAACUGCUAGUUUUUAAGCCUUUUCCCUCUGUUUUCUGCUUCCAGUUCUCAUGGUGAAUCUGGCCCCAAGCUGCCCACAAUAUCUACGCCAACAUCUCAAUGGGUGCUGCCUUGAAAUCUCCUCCGCUGAUGUGUCCAUCACCUUAAAUUCAGCCUCACAGAAAGUCUCAGAACACGGGCAAAAUGGAGAGAAGUUAUUUUCCAGGAUGUAACAAACGGCCUCUGGUCCAAUUCCCAGCAGAGACCUCGUCCCAUGCGAAGGUUCCUGAGCACAGUCUUACUGUCUGCGUUCCUCCUGGCAUUCUGAAUUCUGGGGUCCCGUCACAAUCACCCACUAAGUUCUCCUUACAUUCGAAGGAGAAUCUCCAGCCUGCAUCUCCGACUUUUCCAAACUCCUCCUACAAACCAGUUCCAAAGGCUUCCAAACCACAGCGCCAGGGGUUCACAUAGUCACAACGAUGACCCCACUUCUGGAACCAAUUUUCUGUAUCAGUCAACACUCGGUCACUGUGACCAAGAUACUUGAUGAAAACAACUUAGAGGAGGGAAGAUCGAUUAUGGCUCGUGGCUUCAGAGUUUUGGUCAGAUGACUCCAUUGCUUUGAACCCGACGUGAGGAGCUGGAGGAGCAGACCCGCUCGGCUCGCGGCAGCCGGGAAGGGCAGAAGUGGGGGAGGGCGGAGAAGACGGAACCUCCUAGGGCUUCCCAAGGCUGACUUCUCCAACUAGGUCCCCGCUCCAGGACUCUCCCAGCCAUCAGUGGGCGAAUCCACUGCUGAGGUCAGAGCCCCGUGAUCCAGCCACUUCCCCAAAGCCCCCUCUGCACCCAGGAGACUCUGAGGACAGUCCAGAUCCUAAUCACCCCAGCAGCAGUGUGGCUCCCCUGCUCUGGCCUCUGCUCCUGCCUCACAUCUCGGGCCUUCCUCUGACAGGGACCCGGUGAUGACUUCAGCCCACCAGGAUCACCGAAGCUAAUGUCCCCAUCUCCGUCCCUAAGUCAGUCCCACCGGCUAGGACGUCCCAAGGUGUGGGGCCCAUAUUCACAGGUUCCAGGAUGGAGCCGUGGAUCUCUUUGGGGCCAUGAUUCAGCCCACUACACAUAGAUCUUGUUAACUCAGAUCAAAGUUUUCUAGUGGAAGGUGAAGUAUCUGAGAAUUAAAGAAAAUAAACAACAGCAGAGGUGACCCUGGCAACACAGCCAAGGACCUGGCAGGGGCCCCCUCAGGGCGGAGUGGGUGCAGCCAC
rnacentral:lncRNA from 1 species